CUUUAAGGCUGCACUGAGGUUAUUUUGAGAUCAUCUGAUUUCACCGUAGAAGGUGCGGUAGGAGACCGUCGCUCUGAAAAACUUCAGUCAAAAUGCCAUCCUCACAAAAGCCAGACAGACAGAUUGGAAUUUCCUCGUGGAUCCCCAGCCCUGGAAAGCCUCAUGCAGUGUCUACAGCAGCACGCCAUGCUUUGGGAUGGGAGCCUUGGAAAGUAGCUGUGUUACCAUGCAGCUUCACUGCCAUCGGGUUAAAUGGCCACAAACAGAGCAGGCUUGAAACCAGCUGCUGGCUUCAAGAUGCUGUUUAGAGUCAUCCAGGAACCCCGGGAGCACAUUCUGUAGCGAAUACAGGGUGGAAAGGAAGGGGAAAAAGAGUAUAAAGGAAGGGGAAAAAGAGUAUAAAACCCUCUUUUCAUUGAAAUUAAUGGAAAGACUUCUGCCGGUGGCCUCUUCUUGAGGCUUCAUGACUGAAUGUUCCACUACUGUAAAUGGAGGAGGUCUGUACUGCUGGCUUAGGGUGCACAUUUCCCAGAAAUAUGCCACCCCAUAAAUCCCAAAGAGAAGCUGCAAACGAGCUGAGGUUCCAGCCACCACAGUCCUUGUGUCCUUGCUGAAAAAUGUGAGACUCCUUUUUCUUUUGGGKGAUGUCUCAUUUUAAAUUGGUGAAUCUCAGCAAAAAGCCAGACCCAGAGGAGAGAAUUCCCCUGGUUUUGUUCUGUCAAGGAAAUACUUUCUUCCUACAUUUCAGUUGAAUUUUCCUUGCCUCUUCCUCCUCCCCUAGGAAAUAGGAUCAUGGGUUCACAGGGUGAAAAUAUUUCUCUGUGAACUUGGAAAGAAACUUUUGUGAAGAAUUUCAGGGUCUGUAGAUUUGAAUUUUUUAUGGUUUAUUUUUUCCCUUGGUGGU